rnacentral:rRNA from 1 species
UACGGGGGGGGGCAAGCGUUGUUCGGAAUUACUGGGCGUAAAGGGCUCGUAGGCGGCCAACUAAGUCAGACGUGAAAUCCCUCGGCUUAACCGGGGAACUGCGUCUGAUACUGGAUGACUUGAGAUUGGGAGAGGGAUGCGGAAUUCCAGGUGUAGCGGUGAAAUGCGUAGAUAUCUGGAGGAACACCGGUGGCGAAGGCGGCAUCCUGGACCAACACUGACGCUGAGGAGCGAAAGCCAGGGGAGCAAACGGG